rnacentral:rRNA from 1 species
CCUUGACAUACUAAGAACUUUCCAGAGAUGGAUUGGUGCCUUCGGGAACUUAGAUACAGGUGCUGCAUGGCUGUCGUCAGCUCGUGUCGUGAGAUGUUGGGUUAAGUCCGCAACGAGCGCAACCCUUUUCCUUAUUUGCCAGCGGGUAAUGCCGGGAACUUUAAGGAUACUGCCAGUGACAAACUGGAGGAAGGCGGGGACGACGUCAAGUCAUCAUGGCCCUUACGGCCAGGGCUACACACGUGCUACAAUGGUCGGUACAAAGGGUUGCUACCUCGCGAGAGGAUGCUAAUCUCAAAAAGCCGAUCGUAGUCCGGAUCGCAGUCUGCAACUCGACUGCGUGAAGUCGGAAUCGCUAGUAAUCGCGGAUCAGAAUGCCGCGGUGAAUACGUUCCCGGGCCUUGUACACACCGCCCGUCACACCAUGGGAGUUUGUUGCACCAGAAGUAGGUAGUCUAACCGCAAGGAGGACGCUUACCACGGUGUGGCCGAUGACUGGGGUGAAGUCGUAACAAGGUAAGCGUAGAUGA